CGUAAAGGUUUUAUUGAAGGGGGCGAUACUAUGUUGAAGGAGGGCAACGAUUCAUUACAGGUUGAGAAACACUGAUUUAGUAUCAGAAAUGUAAAAUAUUUGAAUAGCCCAAGACAUAGCCAAAGAUUGCAGCGCCACAGCACUGGCGAAAAUUUAAAUUUGCCGACUGGAAUUCGUUUGGAUAAUUGACAUUUCGGAUAAACGACGCUCUACUGUAUUGUUAGUUUUUAUGCAUACAUUUUGAGAUAUUUGUUAGUCAAAGA